GACGAACGCUGGCGGCGCGCUUAACACAUGCAAGUCGAACGGAAAGGCCUGCUUUCCCUUGUGGAUUGCGGGUACUCGAGUGGCGAACGGGUGAGUAACACGUGAGUGAUCUGCCCCCAACUUGGGUAUAAGCCUGGGAAACUGGGUCUAAUUCCCGAUAGGACUGCAGGGUGGUGCCUGUGGUGGAAAACGAUUUUCUAGUGGUUGGGGAUGAGCUCGCGGCCUAUCAGCUUGUUGGUGGGGUAAUGGCCUACCAAGGCGGCGACGGGUAGCCGGCCUGAGAGGGUGGACGGCCACAUUGGGACUGGGAUACGACCCAGACUCCUACGGGAGGCAGCAGUGGGGAAUAUUGCACAAUGGGCGGAAGCCUGAUGCAGCGACGCCGCGUGGGGGAUGACGGCCUUCGGGUUGUCAACUCCUUUCGACCGCGAGGAAGCCACCUGGUUGGAAGGGUGGUGACGGUAGUGGUAGAAGAAGCACCGGCUAACUACGUG
rnacentral:rRNA from 1 species